UGUUAACAGCGGGUGGCGAGACCUGGCACGCCGAGCAGGCACUGACUCUUAAGCGAGCGCCUCCUGUCCUCGUAGCAGUUCCAACUCGGUCUCAGCAGAGUUUAGGAUGAAGGGAACUCAUUGUAAUGAGAUGACCCAGCGGCGGCAGGGGCGAGGGACACUUGCCAGUGCCUGCCCCUGGUAAGAAGCUACGGCUCUGUACCAGGGGCAGGUACCCAACCUUCCUUCUCCCCGAUUGACAUGCGGCUACUCGACCCCUUCACGGAUCCCGGACUGGCAACUGACUGUUAUGACCCCCGCCCCUCCCUCUCAGCCUCCAGGAGCAAACGCCAUCCGAACAUCGUUCCUGUCAGCCCUGCAAACACCCCUCUGUCCUCGGAUGCAGCUUUCCCUACCCGCGAGCGAACCGAAAGAGAUCACCUUUAGUUCUCGCGAUCAUUUCUUCACAAAGUGCCUGACAACAACGGUCACCAGAAAAAAAUAAUCAACAAAAAUAUAAAUGUAUGUCAUGAACGUGUUCUAUCAUUGCGAAGAUUUCUUGGAAUUUUCUAUCGGUUUAUAUUCCAGCUAAUUGAUACUGAAUUCCAGGAACAGCGAACUCACGGAAGCUAAAUUGCAUCUUUGUGUAUCAAUUUACUCAUGAUGAAUAUGUUGCUUGUACCAAGCAUCCAUUUAAAAGCUGUUUUGUUUCUUGAUAUAGCUUUUCCUCGUUGCUCUGAGCACUGUGUUGUAUUUAAAGUACAAUAUGUUGUGCCCCUGUAUAAGAGGCAAUCACGGGUUCAAUAAAUUUUAUUUUAAUAAA